GAUGAACGCUGGCGGCGUGCCUAAUACAUGCAAGUCGAGCGAACGGACGAGGAGCUUGCUCCUCUGACGUUAGCGGCGGACGGGUGAGUAACACGUGGAUAACCUACCUAUAAGACUGGGAUAACUUCGGGAAACCGGAGCUAAUACCGGAUAAUAUUUUGAACCGCAUGGUUCAAUAGUGAAAGACGGUUUUGCUGUCACUUAUAGAUGGAUCCGCGCCGCAUUAGCUAGUUGGUAGGGUAACGGCUUACCAAGGCGACGAUGCGUAGCCGACCUGAGAGGGUGAUCGGCCACACUGGAACUGAGACACGGUCCAGACUCCUACGGGAGGCAGCAGUAGGGAAUCUUCCGCAAUGGGCGAAAGCCUGACGGAGCAACGCCGCGUGAGUGAUGAAGGUCUUCGGAUCGUAAAACUCUGUUAUUAGGGAAGAACAAAUGUGUAAGUAACUAUGCACGUCUUGACGGUACCUAAUCAGAAAGCCACGGCUAACUACGUG
rnacentral:rRNA from 1 species